rnacentral:misc_RNA from 1 species
GGAAGGAUCAUUCCUAGUCAGGUGUCGUGCGUGUGUGUGGGUGUAGGCGUGUCGAGGGUUCGCCCAAGGCAUGCAUGCUCCCGCGCGCGCGCACACACACACCAUCCUAUCCAUCCCAUCCUGUGUUGUUGACCGCCGAGGUGUGCGCAUGUGGCGAGUCUGGCUGGCGCCUGUCAUGGGUGUCGGUCAUUCAAAGUCGAGGUAGACGAGGGUUUACCAACAUGCGCAUGCUGACGUGGAUAUUUUUUCAUUCAAACCCCAGACCCAAUGCUGACUGAAUGUGACUUUGUGUGUGGUGUGUUUGCCAAUGGUGGUGGUGGUGGGAUUUCCCCAUCAUCAUCAUCAGCAACAUCCUUGUGUAUCAAUAUAACAGUAUAUUAAAACAACUGUUGACAACGGAUCACUCGGCUCUCGUGUCGAUGAAGAGCGUAGCGAAUUGCGAAAACUAGUGCGAUUUGCAUCCAUCGUGAAUCAUCGAGUCCUUGAACGCAACUUGCACCGCAAGGGUCUUCCUUGCGGUCUGCCUGUUUGAGUAUUGACUGACUCUACCCUCGGGCUCAUUGACGUGUGUGCUUGCAUGCAUGUCGGUGGUAGGCUCGGAUCGUGACUGGCCGCUUGAUGCGCGCGUGGUGUCGCUUGCGGCUCCCUGUGUGUGUAUGAGUGACCGGUUGAAAUGCAUUGGCCUUUAUGCCACUCCUGUGAUGUGACGCGUGUGUGUGUGCGUGUGGUGCUUGACGUCAAGUGUCGUGUGCUUUGCCGGGCGUUCGUGCGUGCGUGUCAUCUAUCUCCAACUCAUGUUUUCCGUGAAUGCUUGGUCUUCCCGCGAGGGAGGGUCAUUCAUCCUUGCUAGCAUGGGCGAGAGAGAGAGAGAGCGAGUACGUGCAUCUAUGUCCUUUAUGUGCGAGUCAUGGCAUGUCGAGUAUAUAUCACUAUCAUAUAUAUCGCCCACAACACGGGGGAUGGCAGUCUGCAAGCGAGCGAGGCAGGCCAGCAACGGCGAGGGUCGGGUGACGUGGCAUUCGUGCCGCGCCCACCCACCCAACCCAACCCCCAUACCUAUCAAUGCAAUCUCAAAUCAGGCAGGAUGACCCGCUGAACUUAAGCAUAUCAAUAAGCGGAGGAAAAGAAACCAACAGGGAUUCCCCUAGUAACGGCGAGUGAAGCGGGAAGAGCUCAAAUUUGAAAUCGGAACGGCAAGCGCUGGAUCUGAAUUGUAGUUUGAUGAGGCGUGUCUUGCGGCUGGUCCAGGUCCAAAUCCCUUGGAAUGGGGUACCAUGGAGGGUGAAAGUCCCGUCUAUGGCCUGCGAGAACCGGUUGUGUUGUAGCGCGUCCUCGGAGAGUCGGGUUGUUUGGGAAUGCAGCCCAAAGCGGGUGGUAAACUCCAUCUAAGGCUAAAUACUGGCGAGAGACCGAUAGCGAACAAGUACCGUGAGGGAAAGUUGAAAAGCACUCUGAAGAGAGAGUCAAACAGUACGUGAAAUUGUCAACAGGGAAACGAUGGGCUCCAGUACGUGUCCGGGUGGAAUCAGGCGUGUGCGGGGGCUGGUGUGCGCGGGGUUGUCAGCUGCUAGCGCGGCGACGCCCCGUGUGCGUGAUCCGGCUUCGGCGGCGCUGUACUUUGGCCCGGACAGGUCAACAUCAGUUGCGACUGCGUGCAAGAACGGACCCGGGACGGUAGCCAUGCGCUUUGCGGUGCGUGGCACUUAUAGCCCGGGCUGCGGCGGUGCGUGCGCGACUGAGGCAGCAGAGAGGAUCGACGCGUCAAUGCCAGGGCUUCCUUGCGGAGCACUGGUGGAUGCAGGUCGGCCGUGGCAGGGUGUGGGCGCGCGAGCAAGACAGCCUGGCUGAUUUGUUCGUUGCUGCCUGCUCCCUCUCAUGUCGCGGUGCGGACACUAGCUCGGUCACUGACGGUUGACGAAAUGGAGUUCAACGACCCGUCUUGAAACACGGACCAAGGAGUCUAACAUGGGUGCGAGUGUUUGGGCGUGGAAAACCCGGACGCGGAAUGAAAGUGAGCCCGUUGUGGCUGGGCAGGACGUUGGUGUGGCUCGCGAUCUCUUUUGGUUGCGGCGCCCGACUGCACUGUCGACCGACCGUUGGUUCGCGUGACCUUCGGAUUGCGUCUGAGCAUCCCUGUUGGGACCCGAAAGAUGGUGAACUAUGCUUGAGUAGGACGAAGCCAGAGGAAACUCUGGUGGAGGUCCGUAGCGGUUCUGACGUGCAAAUCGAUCGUCAAACUUGAGUAUAGGGGCGAAAGACUAAUCGAACCAUCUAGUAGCUGGUUCCCGC